GAUGAACGCUAGCGGCAGGCCUAAUACAUGCAAGUCGGACGGGAUUCAGGAGCUUGCUUCUGAUGAGAGUGGCGCACGGGUGCGUAACACGUAUGUAACCUACCUUUAUCAGGGGGAUAGCCUCUCGAAAGAGAGAUUAAGCCCGCAUAAAAUCACAGCACAGCAUUGUGUAAUGAUCAAAUAUUUAUAGGAUAAAGAUGGGCAUGCGGAACAUUAGCUAGAUGGCGGGGUAACGGCCCACCAUGGCGACGAUGUUUAGGGGAUCUGAGAGGAUGGCCCCCCACACUGGUACUGAGACACGGACCAGACUCCUACGGGAGGCAGCAGUAAGGAAUAUUGGUCAAUGGGCGGAAGCCUGAACCAGCCAUGCCGCGUGCAGGAAGACGGCCCUACGGGUUGUAAACUGCUUUUAUACGGGAAUAAACCCAGAUACGUGUAUCUGGCUGAAUGUACUGGAAGAAUAAGGAGCGGCUAACUCCGUG
rnacentral:rRNA from 1 species